rnacentral:lncRNA from 1 species
UCCUAGACGGUCAUAUAAUCAGGCCACCUGCGCGCUACUGACCUAGAUUCCUUCUGGGCUGACACACCCGUGUAGUAAGCCCACAACCUUGUAGAUCAUUAGUAGUGAUAAGCCUACGCAGGGUGCGGCGGUCAGUUUGAAUUGUUGUUUUCUCAUGCUUUGACACUGGAUUAUUUCUGCCUAAUGCAGUUUGCAUUUCAAUUCAUCUGGAUUAUGUGAAUAUUUUCUACAUCAUUGUGUGUGUUGAGGAACAGAAGUGGUGACUAAUUAAUUAAUUAAUUAAGAUUGACCAGCAGUCUUGAGAUCGCAAAUUUGAAGUGCUGUUUGGCUGCACUGUAGGCCUACUGUUCAUUUUCAGAUUCUUCAUCGCCAUCGUACUCAGUGAAUGCCUGGAUUCUUUUAAUUGAGGCCUAAUGCAGUUUUUUUUUCCAAAUCAUCUGGAUUGUGUGAAUAUCAAAUAUCUCUUCCAUCAGUUGCUUACAUGCUUCUCUUCUAGGCCUAUUUAUUGCUUUCAUCAUGUGUGGUUAUGACUCUGUUGGACUGUGACUGACACCUUCAAAAUAAACUGAAGGAAUAAGAACAACAAUGGGAAGAAAAUGCUCAGUUGGUGGAUGCAAAACUGGCUAUGACAGUCAGAAAGGUGCAGAAAAAGUGACCUUGUAUGGAUUUCCUUCGGAUGAAACAGAAUGUCGGGCAUGGACUGCUAGCUUACCAAACAUUUUAUCCUAUGAAAAGGUGUCAAAACAUAUCAGUGUGUGCCCUCCAUUUCCGUAAAACUCUAACUCAACUCAAGUCAACUUUCUGUCUUUCCAUCGCUUUUGUCUGUCUAGAAUAAUUUUUUACAUGUCCGUUAGUUUGAACACAAACACAGGGAAGCUAAACCAUUGA